rnacentral:rRNA from 1 species
CCUACGGGUGGCUGCAGUGGGGAAUAUUGGACAAUGGGGGGAACCCUGAUCCAGCCAUGCCGCGUGUGUGAAGAAGGCCCUCGGGUUGUAAAGCACUUUCAGUGAGGAAGAACGCCUGGAGGUUAAUACCCAUCAGGAAAGACAUCACUCACAGAAGAAGCACCGGCUAACUCCGUGCCAGCAGCCGCGGUAAUACGGAGGGUGCGAGCGUUAAUCGGAAUUACUGGGCGUAAAGCGCGCGUAGGUGGCUUGAUAAGCCGGUUGUGAAAGCCCCGGGCUCAACCUGGGAACGGCAUCCGGAACUGUCAAGCUAGAGUGCAGGAGAGGAAGGUAGAAUUCCCGGUGUAGCGGUGAAAUGCGUAGAGAUCGGGAGGAAUACCAGUGGCGAAGGCGGCCUUCUGGACUGACACUGACACUGAGGUGCGAAAGCGUGGGUAGCAAACAGGAUUAGAUACCCCUGUAGUC